UAAGUACUCUCUGUUAGGAUGA
rnacentral:miRNA from 1 species